GUGUCAGCCGCCGCGGUAAUACGGAGGGUGCAAGCGUUAUCCGGAUUCACUGGGUUUAAAGGGUGCGUAGGUGGGCAGGUAAGUCAGUGGUGAAAUCCUUGAGCUUAACUCGAGAACUGCCAUUGAUACUAUCUGUCUUGAAUGUUGUGGAGGUGAGCGGAAUAUGUCAUGUAGCGGUGAAAUGCUUAGAUAUGACAUAGAACAUCUAUUGCGAAGGCAGCUCACUACGCAAAUAUUGACACUGAGGCACGAAAGCGUGGGGAUCAAACAGGAUUAGAUACCCCCGUAGUCC
rnacentral:rRNA from 1 species